GCAGUCUGACGCCGGUCGCGCAGUCAGCAUGGCUGGAUUUUCUCGCAGUUUUUCGCCGGUUCUACCGUGUUCUACAGGCGAGCGCAGUCGGUCGUGUACUCGCGUCGCGGUGGUGCGUGCCGUCUGAGUGUGAUCGUCGUCGUCGUUGUCGUCGUGGUCGUCGUGGUCGGAACUGUUCGAGACGAUCGUGCGUCGGUGAACGCGUGCCUUUCCGACCGAGGGGAAUCGAGAGCCGAGAACGAGCGCGAGCGAAAGAGACGCCAGACACACUCGAACCUAACCUCCAAAGACAAAGAUGAGCCGAGACGUAGCUCUGCUGGUUUCGCGGUCGCGGUGACGCAGACUCUCGUCUAUUUCUCGUAUCGUUUGCAGCUCGUACCUCGUGGCAUUUAUCGAGACGGAUAAUGUGCCUGGUUGUCGCGUUCUCUUCUUGGUUCAUUGUCUCGGUGUUGCGCGUAAUAUCGCGGUUCUCGUCGUGAUCGCGCCUAAAGUGCCUCGCGUGACAGCCGUGCGUGCGGAGGAACGAGACGAGGACGGAGACCGCGAAAAGAACAAAAGAGAAACGGAGAAACCACUGUGCGUCCUGGUGUGAACGAUUCGGUAACAUUCCGGUCCCCGUGUUAACGUGCGAGAGGAACAGAGAAUCUUUGGAGCAGGAAGGCAUCCGGUGAAAACAGUGAAGAAAGAGAAGAGAAAGGACGUCUUGGCCAUCGACGAACAAAUCUUCACACUCAACAACGAGAUAAAUAUUUCUCAGAAAACUGUUUCGUCGUACGUUGCUCGUUGGUGUAUUUGUUUUGGAGUAGCGCCUCAACCAUUCGUUUCCACGAAUCGACUGUUUCCCUUCGCCGAAAAAGAAUCUGUCUACGACUGGAUGAAAUCGCGCUGGUGAAUGGUCAAGCGUAGACACGUGCAGAGUCGAGAACGAGGAAAAGGGGCAGCCGCACGGGAACGAGAUCGAUAAAAAAAGCGAUAGGGUAAUGCUGGAAAAUCGUCGCAGCCGAUGGGGAGCGUCGUAGCUUUCCAUCGUCCCUAAUUGACAGGCAGAAGGAAGCUUGUGCCCGAGGACCUGGCGGCGAGGGAAAGAAAGAAGAAAGAAAAGAAAGGGAGAGGACGACGCGCGCGACACGCGUUAAGAAACAGAGCGUCGACGAGGAGAGCUAGGAGAGGAGCGAGACCUGGCGAAAUUUACGAGUGAAACAGGUUUGCUCUCUCUGCGAGAAGGUACAAAUCUCGAAGCCAGGUAACAAAUGGCGCUACCGUAAGAAUCAGCUGACCGUGCCACGGAACCGAAAGUUGAGGACGGAUUUCGUCGCGAGUGUUUUACCGACGAAGGUAUUUUCUGGUCGAUCUCUCGGACUUGAAAUUCGUCCUUGGACCUUGCGAGUUGACGCUUCUCGAUGGUGGUUUUCCCUUUGGCGUUUGGCGAACUAUGGUCUCGAGCGUACGGCACGAAGGAAAUUGAAGUGCAAGAAGAGACAGAAAGAGAGAGAGAGAGAGAGAGGGGGAGAGAAAAAUGUCGAGGAUUCGAGGCACAGAUCGCUGAGAAGCGAAUGAGAGAGCGGAUCCAUCGGAGGGACGUUAGCCAAAUGGGUUAAAAAGAAAACGAUGGCGAUGGACGGCGCGACCCAGUGCUGCACGCAAAAUGGCGAUCGUGCUGCCGUCGUGGAAACGCAACAAGUGGCGAUCUGUUGUUCCUUAUCCGUGAGCUAUCGUCGAUGUUUCCCAAGGAACGGGCCGGACUCGAUCCUCCAGGACCCGACGCUUGCGAUUUUCUGAACAACGUCUGGCCUUCGAGAGCCGACCUGACCGAAAAAAGGGACACCGAAGGAGAGCCGAAAGGAACACGCUCGGCGUCGAUAAUAAUUCCGUCACUCGAGAAAACACGGGAAAGUACGUUCUUCCCGAAAUACAUAGAGAGGAGAAAGAGAUUAAGCCAAAAAGAGCUAACAAGAUUUCUGUUUCUCCAAGCUAAGAAGGAUCCUCCUUUAGACUCAAAGCUCGAAAAUUCAAGAUCGAGCUGAAAGUACCGGUUUGUUCUCCCGACGCGUUGAUCUCGUUCGAUCCUCCCGAAAGAUAGCGAGGCUUGUUGGCAAAAAGGCUGUUGGGAUAUCGAGGCGGACGACUAUGAGCAGAGCCGAUGCCCGGCGAGGAAGGAAGAGGACAUCGUUGUUGCGGAAGUCAGGGACUGCCGGCGGCGCGGCUGCGACACGACUCCACGCGUUCCACUGUCCGUUCCGGUCGAGCGAUUCGCGGCUAAUCUGAGAGACAAAGUAGCUCGUGCCUCGUCGGAUGAGACGAUGGUGAUGAAGAUCUCCGCGGUCGAGGCUGGCGUUCCUUUACUAAGCGCCGUCGGUCCGCGCUGCGUCGUCAAGCAGGCCACGGUGAAACGAUGCGUCGCCGCUCUGCUGCUCGUCUCCGUCGCCAGUAUAUUCUACUACACACACUACAUCAUCAGCAGCCCGCUGUCCAGCUCUAAUUCGUCGAAACACU